rnacentral:rRNA from 1 species
GGUCUCAGUUCGGAUUGGGGUCUGCAACUCGACCCCAUGAAGUCGGAGUCGCUAGUAAUCGCAGAUCAGCAACGCUGCGGUGAAUACGUUCCCGGGCCUUGUACACACCGCCCGUCACGUCAUGAAAGUCGGCAACACCCGAAGCCGGUGGCCUAACCCUUGUGGAGGGAGCCGUCGAAGGUGGGGCUGGCGAUUAGGACGAAGUCGUAACAAGGUAGCCGUACCGGAAGGUGCGGCUGGAUCACCUCCU